CACUCAGAGAAACUGCCAACCCUAGGAUGAAGUAUAUUGUUACUGUGCUUUGGGAUUAAAAUAAGUAACUACAGUUUAUAGAACUUUUAUACUGAUACACAGACACUAAAAAGGGAAAGGGUUUAGAUGAGAAGCUCUGCUAUGCAAUCAAGAAUCUCAGCCACUCAUUUCUGUAGGGGCUGCAGGAGCUCCCUGUAAAGAGAGGUUAUGGAGUCUGUAGCUUCAGGUAACCACUGAUCCACUUCCAGUCACUAUCCAUGAGUUUUUAUUUCCAAAUACAUGAAAUCAUAUGAAUUUCUGGUUUUUCCUGUUGGAGCCCAAGGAGCAAGGGCAGAAUGAAGAACAUGAUGUUUCCUACCGACAGUUACUCAUGACGUCUCCAUCCAGGACUGAGGGGGGCAUCCUUCUCCAUCUAGGACUGGGGGCAUCCUUCUCCAUCCAGUAUUGGGGGUCAUCCUCCUCCAUCCAGGACCUGAGGGGUGUCCUUUUCUGCGCUUCCUUGGAUGGCAGUCUUUCCCUUCAUGUUUAUAGUGACUUACCAUUAAAUCACUGUGCCGUUUUUUCCUAAAAUA
rnacentral:lncRNA from 1 species